rfam:Stereum hirsutum FP-91666 SS1 unplaced genomic scaffold STEHIscaffold_1, whole genome shotgun sequence.
ACACUCGUGGUGAAGUGGUUAUCAUGCUUGCCUUCCAUUUCAGUGUUACGCUAUGAGCGGUUAGCAAGCGGCACGGGUUCGAUUCCCGUCGAGUGUA